rnacentral:tRNA from 1 species
AAUGUUAUGUCUGAAAAAAGAAAUAAAUUGUAAAUUUAUUCAUAAAAAUUAAUUUUUUUAACAUUA